UCGCCGCGGUGCACGCUGGGAGCGCGGCGGCAGCGCCAGGAGGGAGCGUGGCGGCCAUUUUGUGCCUGCCUCGCUCGCCUCCGGGAAGGGGCCGGUGCGGGCUCGGCGGGGAGGGAGGGAAGGAGGGAAGAAGGAGUUCGGCUGUUUGCUUUUCUGCCUAGGUCGCGGGCGCCGUCGCCAUGGGCCGUAAAAAGAAGAAGCAGCUGAAGCCUUGGUGCUGGUAUUGUAACAGAGAUUUUGAUGAUGAAAAGAUCCUUAUACAGCAUCAGAAAGCAAAGCACUUUAAAUGCCAUAUAUGUCAUAAGAAAUUGUAUACGGGACCUGGUUUAGCUAUACACUGCAUGCAGGUACAUAAAGAAACAAUAGAUGCUGUUCCAAAUGCUAUUCCUGGAAGAACAGACAUUGAACUGGAAAUUUAUGGCAUGGAGGGCAUUCCAGAAAAAGAUAUGGAGGAACGGAGAAGGUUACUUGAACAAAAAACUCAGGCAGAAAGCCAGAAAAAGAAACAACAAGAUGAUUCUGAUGAGUAUGAAGAUGAUGAAUCUGCAGCUUCAACUUCAUUUCAACCCCAGCAAGUUCAGCCACAGCAGGGGUACAUUCCCCCAAUGGCACAACCAGGUUUGCCUCCUGUGCCAGGUGCACCAGGGAUGCCUCCAGGUAUACCACCAUUAAUGGCAGGUGUUCCACCAAUGAUGCCUGGCAUGCCUCCAGUGAUGCCUGGAAUGCCACCUGGAUUACAUCAACAAAGAAAAUACAUGCAGUCAUUUUGUGGUGGAAACAUGAUGAUGCCAAUGGGUGGAAUGAUGCCUCCUGGGCCAGGAAUACCACCUCUUAUGCCUGGUAUGCCACCAGGUAUGCCGCCACCUGUUGGCCCUCGUCCUGGGAUGCCUCCGAUGACACAAGCACAGCCUGUUACAGCACCAGGCAUCCUUAACAGACCUCCAGCUCCUGCUGCGUCAGCACCUACCCCUCAGCCUCCAGUUACUAAACCACUCUUCCCGAGUGCAGGGCAGAUGGGGACACCUGUCACAAGCUCAAGUACAGCUUCCUCCAAUUCAGAAAGUCUGUCAGCAUCUUCUAACGCUCUGUUUCCUAGCACAGCACAAGCUGCAGCAGCUGUUCCAGGUCCAGUUGGUACUGAUUUCAAACCUUUGAAUUCUACACCUGCAACAACAACAGAACCCCCCAAGCCUACAUUCCCUGCUUACACACAGUCUACAGCUUCAACCACUAGCACGACAAACAGUACUGCAGCUAAGCCAGCUACAUCAAUAACAAGUAAGCCUGCUACCCUUACAACAACCAGUGCAACCAGUAAGUUGAUCCAUCCAGAUGAGGAUAUAUCGCUGGAAGAGAGAAGGGCACAGUUGCCUAAAUAUCAGCGUAAUCUUCCUCGGCCAGGACAAGCUUCCUUGGGCAAUCCACCAGUUGGACCAAUUGGAGGUAUGAUGCCACCACAGCCAGGAAUUCCUCCACAGCAACAAGGGAUGAGACCUCCCAUGCCACCUCAUGGUCAGUAUGGUGCUCAUCACCAGGGCAUGCCAGGAUAUCUUCCUGGGGCGAUGCCUCCUUAUGGUCAGGGACCUCCGAUGGUGCCCCCCUACCAAAGUGGACCUCCUCGUCCUCCAAUGGGAAUGAGACCUCCUGUAAUGUCGCAAGGUGGCCGCUACUGAUGCUACUACACACGCUCUAAUAGGUUUUUAGAAGUGAAGUAUAGUAAAUAUGGUUCGUUAAAUUGUGAAGGCGCUGGAAUUACAUGAACAUACCACCUUAAAGCCCUGCCAUAGGACAGGCUGAGGCAGAGUCUCAGUGUUGCCCUGUUCAGUCUGAGGCAAGUGGGAUUUAUUUUAUUCCUUCCAGGGGCUUUCACAGCUUUAUGGCUGUUGGAUAUUUAUGUCCCCAAACUUGCAGCAAGUUUGGUGAAGGCCCCUAAAUUUAUUUUAAUUUAGGUUUUUUAUUCUUUUGGUAGAUGGGCUCUAUAUUAAUAUUUAUCCUUUUAUUAUCACUGUGUUUUUAAGAGUCUUAAGGGGAGGGAAUGUGUUAUGAGAUGUUUGGGUACCAUUUCUCUUACAGAACGUCUUUCCUUCAUGGCUGGUCAGGUAGUCCUUCAGCCACACUGUACCCUGCCCUCUUUCCCUGCAUUGUAUUAGCGCUGUACUGGUUUUUGGUUUUGGUAAUGUGACUUUGUGUAGUCUUUGAAGUAGUGGCAUGUAAAGGUUAAUUACUAAUGUUUCCUUUACUUAGGAGAUGUAUUUAUUGAAGUACUUAAAAUACUUAGGUAUUUAGCUAAUAAGCAAUAUUAGUAGUUACAAAAUUGUGUAGCCUAAAUUACAAAAUAUGGUUUCUAUGGAGGAGGAUAUUAACUGCUGCAUUUGUGAGCUGUGCCACAAUGAAUAUUAAUGUAGAGCCCUAUGAAGAAGUAGAUAUUCAAGUUGGUAAAGUAGAAGAGAAGAAUGAGAAAUCAAAACUACAGAUGUUUCAGUUCAUCAGUUUCAGGAAAACCUUUGCAUCAGUCACUUAAAUACACCCAGCUACACAAUAUUUUGUGUAUUGCAAUGAUGUACCACAAAUGCUUGUGUUUUCUUGAAACCUUGGGGAAUUUUGUUGCAUGUCCAAAAUUUGCUUAAGGAUAUGGGUAUUUGAAGUUACUGCUUUUGUGCAGUAGAUAGAAGAAAAAAAAAAAAGAUUACCCCUUGUGGAAGAAAAACUAGCAUUAGUAUUACUGCUCACUCUGUUUGAAAUGCAUUGGUUUUGAAUGACUGAGGUUACCUGAAGACAACUUCAGCCUCAGAAGAACAGAUUUUGACCAAGGAGUUCUUGUAGCCUGUCAGCAGUGAAAUUCUUGAAUUAACAAACAUUUGAGUCAGAUUUCUAAAUCUUUUUUGAUUUUUGUGUGUUUUUUUUUUUAACUUGUGGCACUUCUUGAUGAGUAAAAUGUUUCGUUUCUUCAAGAUUAUGCUAAGUAAUGACCCACUUGUGAUUUUCAGCAAGUUUAAUUGAAGGAUAAAGUGAGUUGUAAUUCUUUUUUAGUUCAAAGAAUGGUUUUCAGGCUCCUGUUGUACUCGUGUUGUACUCUGCCCUUUACGUUUUCCCUAUAAGGAAUCUCCCAAGUAGUCUAUUCUGACUGGAAAAUUGACGUCCUCUGUUAACUGUUUCAAAGAAAUUAGUAAGCAUGGUGUUGCUUUUCUGAUUCUCAUUGUGAUGCCGUACUUGAUAACGGUGAAGAUGAGAACAACUCUAAGAUACAUUACUGCAACUACUCUUUAUUUCACACAGUUGGUCUAUAGGAGUAUUUGGUUUAGUUCUUACUUCCCCUGGAAUAUCUAAGGAAACCAUUUAACCAAAAAUAUUUUUCAGCAUGGCUUGUACUUCUUGCCUUAAGUUUAUCUUGUAAAGGUUGAGAUGAAAAAAAUAGCCAAAUUUCAAAUGCACGAGAGUGAACUUUGUCACCAGUUUCCAUUUAAGACUCAUGCAAUACUAGGUAGUUUUUAUGCAGCUACUUAUAUUCAUUUUUCAGCACACAAAGCUGAAAUUCAGCACAAAUGCUGUAUUGUCUAUCAUGGGGUACCCUACUUAGAUCCAUGUGUGUGUUAUAUCUAAUGAAUUGAUACUCUGGUGAGAGCUAUAUGUUUUCAGAUUAAACUUUUGAUCUGAUUUUACUGAAGAUAACUAGGUUUGGUAUGUUCAUGGAAAAAAGUUUCAAGAAUGCAGUUCCAGUUUUUGUUGUUGCUAUGAAGUUGUGCAUACUAAUAUUCAGGAGUAAAUUAGCCAUUUCUUUGUAGGUUUGCCUAUUCUGCUCACAAAGCAUGGUAUUUCUUAGCUAUGGAUUUUUUUUUUCUUGAAACUGCUUUGGAUAAUUUCAGGAAAAUGAAUUUCAUAAUACUUCUGAAAGAUGCAGUUGGCACUAGAACAAUUCCAUGUUGUUACUGUAUGAAUUAAGGCUUUUAGUUCAGGGUUUUCUUGUAGCUCACAUGUUCUUCCACUUCCAUCAUUUAUGUUCCUGUCUGUUCCGUAAGUCUCGAAAGGACUGGACAGGACAGAACCUUUUUGUUCUAUGUUUGGGUGUUGAUGGCUUUAAACAGGUUAUAUCCAUGGUACUCUGUUACCACAGACUAAUGUUUAUGCUUAAAUUUGCAGCAACUAAUGUGUGUUCCAUUUGCUUUGUACUUAAUCCUAAAAGGUACAUGUGAAAGUACUGCUGUAUUUCUAGUCACAAGGAUGGCAUAAUGGCCUUCUGCUAAAAAGGUGGGAAUAUGUCCUCAGCUGUUAGACCAGUUGCCCUGUCAUCUCUUUAAAACAACUUGUAAAAUUCUCGUCUAGUGCAGAAGGCUCAUAUCAUGCUGAAGUUCUGUUAGUGACCUCCUUCCUGUCUCAUGUGGAUCUAAGGAGGAUAGUUCCAAAAAAACUUUACUUUUAUUUCUUUAUUUUUUAUUUUGAUGGCAGGUAGUGUGCUUUGUACUGACGCUCCUGUGUGCUGUCAGUAUUGCAGCUUUCAAUAUUGCAGCAGUCUGUGUAUCACAAAGCUGUACAUAUCGUUGCUCGUGGAAUUUUUAAUGAUAAUAUUUUAGUCAAUUGACUUUCAUUAUUUUAUUAGAUAUUAAAGGAAGUAAGCUUUAAAAUGUUUGGUUUCAUUUAAGUUUAUGUAGAGGUACUUGAGUUGUUGUUUUUUUUCUUUUUAAGGUCAAGAAUUAUUGAAAUUGCGCUAAAUUGGGUAAAUUUGUACCAACUGGUCUUGAAAAGAGAAGUGAAUGAGAAAUGUAGCAUGUAAAGUAUGCAUCACACGUGAAGUUUUGACUUGCUUUAAAAUUGUGUGAUGAGUUCAUAAUGCAUUCUCUGCCAUGUUUAGUAAAGAUUGUGACCCUUAAGAAAUAGGCUACCUCCAUAAGAACUUUUUAGUGUGUGUAUACUUCCUGUCGAAGUAUUCAGAUCAGAGAAGUAUUGGUAGUGACUGGGUUUUAUAAAAAUGUAGCCAUUGGUGACUGUUUUUCUGUCGGAGCUGGGCUAGGUAGGUAUUUGGGAGUACGAAAACCUUGGAGGCAGCCUUUGAGAGGAUCAAGAUAGAAAAGUGACUCUGAAGUGUAAUGUACAAAACUGAUUUUUUAAGUUUUGAAAAGAACUUCGAGUUUUGUUUUUUUUUUCUGUAAGCAGCAGUUUUAUAUAAUCUUGAUUGUCAGAGAAAGCAGAUUCUUGUUAAAGCUCUACUGGAAGAAAAUGCAGUUCAAGUACAGUACUUUUAGAUUGUGGUGUGUAAUAAAUACACUUGUGUUAUGUGAAAGUUCUUGGAAGGUCUGUCUGAGGGAGCCAGGUACUUUGAAAGCCAUAUCCUUUCUUGAACCAUGUGGUCGAGGAUGUUAUCCUUUGGUCUUUUGUUCUGAUCAUUCUGAUGAGACAGUACUGACUGCAUGAUGACCCUCUGUGAGGGUUGGUACUUCCACAUCUGGUCACUGUUGUGAGUAAUGAGGCACUUGUACCGUUUGAGCAAGUUUAUACUAACUUGUUCUGUUGUUACAGGCUCUAUUGUAGGCUAUUCUUACAAGCAGUAGGAACAAUCAGCAGCACUGCUGUUUCCGUAAUAAUGAAUUUAACUUCUCCAUAAAUAAGUCUUGAACUUAUCUUAAGGAAGUCAGAAUGUUUUGAGGAAAUAGUAUUUUCGUGCAAGUAGCAUCUUAACUGAAAACAAAUGAGCACACAACUUUGAGAGCCUGAAAGCUUCCAAAAAAAAAAAUUGUUUGCAGUUACAGCAUAUCUGUUAGCUAGCUACCUUUAUAACAGGUUCAAGUUUCUAAUGUCUAAAAUUUUGUUGUAAAUGUUGUCUACAUCUUAACCAUGGUCCCAGGUGCUUUUUAGAAAGGGGGUCAGCUUGUUCUGCCCUUAGUAACCAAUAUUUAUAAAUGGCUUUAGCUAAUAGUAAUUUUGAAUUACCAAACACUAUGCCAUGCAACCAAAGGAAAUUAUUUAAUGUGUCCCAACUUAAGGAAUUAUAUGAUGAUUUGAAAUAAAAAUGUCAUGCAGAAUCUUUUUCUUUUUUUCCCCCUCAUUGUGUUGUAGAAGAGUGUGAUACUUGCAACUACUGAAUUCUUUAGCUUCUAGUCGAAGAAAAUAAAUUUUGUUCUUUCAUGGGUAAAGUCUAGAAUAAGAAAAACAGUUUGAGACUAUUUAAUGAAGGACCAUGACAAUGUAAGUAUUGUAAUUUCCUUUAUACUUGUGUUAGGCAAAGGGAUUACUUUGUUAAACUUCUGGCGUUUGUGUCAAAAAUACCAGAAAUGUUAUAGUUGCCCUGACUUCUUAUGCUUUUCCUAAGCAACAAAUUACAGUAAUUGAAGUUUGGCAGCUUUUUUUUUUUUUUUUUUUUUUUAUGAAAAACUAAAUUAUGGGUUAAAACUCCUUGGUUUAAUACAAUUUGUGUUUUUGUCAACUAGCAGCAGAAUUUCAGCAUUUGCUACUUACUGGUAGAGAAGAAAUAUCCCACAGCACUGCCAGUACAGGUUAGUUUAAUCUGUAAGUACCUGACAUUUCUAUUUGAAAUAUGUUCAAAUGAUACCGUUUCAGUACAAGGGGAAUUUUGAUCUCUGAAAUGUCAAUGUAUCUUUCUUACCUACUACUGUUUUCAGUAGUGAGUGAACAUCCAGAUUUUUUUUAAAAAAGAUCUCUAAUGAUUUUAACUGCUCGUGUGGGUCAGUAAUAUCUGCAAGCACAAGGAAAAUUUAAUGUAAAACCUUAACAGGUUGCCUUUGGUGUUACUGAAAAACAUAAAGAUAUUAAAUCAAAGUUAGUUCUUCGGUAUCGUGCCUGUUACAAAUGGCUGUUUUAUCAGUGAACCAAUUACAGGGUAUUAUAUUGGCUUUUAUGUUGGGGAAUAAGCAUUUCUGUUCUUAAGAUUCUGUAGCAGUAAUGUGAUCUUUAAAUUUUUCUUCAGUUUUAGCUAAUUACUGCCUAUUGCCAACAGAAUUUUAAUUUGCUAGACUUGUAAGUUGGGAGCUUCUUGUUCUAUGAUUUAUUAGCUUGCUUUUAUUUAAGCCCUGUGUACCUCAUCUCUAUGUUAUCAGCAUGGGAGAUGAAAGUUUUUUGUGCUAUGGCACAUUGCAUAGUUUCAUAAGCUGUGAAACUCUGUGCCUUAACAUACACUUGCAAAGUGAAUCAUCACACAGUAAAUCUGAGGGGCUUUUGAAAUCAUUGGUGGAUAAUUGUGUAAAAACAAAAUACUGGAUGAUUGUGUACUAGUGUGGUAGCCAGACAGAAACGUUAGUUUUGCCAGCUCAUAUGAAUGCUUUUAUACUCUGUUUUCAUAAGUGAUUUGACACUUCCAGCAGUAUUGCUUGUUUCAGAAUUUUGAAGUAUCAUACAAUGUUGCACAGCUCAUCAUACCAAAAUGUAAGGUUUCAAGGGGAUUUGCUCAGUAAUGAGUUGAAAUAAGUAACUGAUUGCUUUUGGCUGCUGAAUUACCAUGUGAAGUCUCAGUUUUGACAGUGGUUGAAUGCUGACCUGCUCUACUUACACCCCAGACUGGGAGUGAAUGGGGAAUAACUAAAGGGUAGUGGUGUUCUGUUUCAUCAGCAAAGAGUGCAUUUCUUUGGAAUAGAUCCUAAUAUGAAUCAUAGAAUGGCUUGGGUUGCAAGCGACCUUAAAGAUCAUUUAGUUCCUCCCCUCCUGCUAUGGGCAAGGACACCUCCCACUAGAUCAGGUUGGCCAUGGAUCCAUCUAACCUGGCCUUGAACACCUCCAGGGAUGAGACAUCUGCAGCUUCUCUGGGCAAGCUGUUCCAGUGUCUCACUAUCCUUUCGGUGAAGAAUUUCUUCGUAAUGUUUAAUCCAAAUCUAUCCUCUUUUUAAUUUAAGACCAUUUCCCCUUGUCCUAGACCAUGAACUAUGAUAGAAUGCCAUCUCCCUGCAAAACUUUGACAAAUAACUAAAGAGUUUUCUGGUAGAAUUUCUUUACUUUUAGGAUGGGACCAAAACAAAAUAUGAAAUCUGAGCUUUCACAAUCAGGUGAGCGGUCUUAAUUUGUAGCUCAGGUUCCGAUGCACUGUUUCAGCAGCUGUCCAGUCUAACGCAAUUCAGAAGUCUUUACAAGUCUGAUACGGUAAGCAGGGAGCAGUGAGUCAGUUCCUUUAGCCUUCUGCUUAAUGACUCCAAAUUGCCCCUUCAGAUUCUAGUCACUGUGUGGCAAACUUGAACUCUGGUUUUUAGUUCCUUCUUAAGGUAUUUUAAAGCACAUAAUUGAAGUAAGUAUCCUCUCAGUAGUAAUACAGCCACAGAAGUUAGUGUGUCAGGAACAUUUUUCUUGUAACUUGAUCCACCUUUUGUGUAAGUGAUAUGAAAGGGAAGGAAUCACUGAUCUUUUGAAAAAAGACAAGUGGCAAAAUAUUAAUGUUGAAUUUAAUCCCAAAAGGUGGGAAAUUGGUAAGUAUGGGCAUCACUUUCAUGCAUGCAAAUAAUAGUAACAGUAACCGUAGCUUAAUUUUAUUAGCAUUCAGUUUCCAAAGAAGAUUGAAAGAAAAUACGGAGUUAACAUCACUUGCAUCCCUUGGGAACUGUGUGCUUCAAGAAUGGAUAAUUAACAUGUACAAAUCUGUAAUGUAUAUCUACCACUUUGUAACAAUCUCUAAUUAAACAUAAGUGAACCACU